rnacentral:ncRNA from 1 species
UUGUUGUGUGAAAGGAGUGAAGGUUAGCACUUCCCUUGAUAAGGAUGGAAGACCCCUGCGGCUUGUACAAUGCAUGUGGUUAAGGCAUUGCUGCUUACUUCAGAGUAGCAUCUAUAAAAAAUUAU